GACGAACGCUGGCGGCGUGCUUAACACAUGCACGUCGAACGAAGGGGCGAACGGGGGAGUACUACGUGGGUCAACGGCCCUCCUUUUGGGGAUAAACCUUGGAAACGGGGUCUAAUACCGAAUAAAGGGGGAUGGGCUCUCGGCCUAUCAGAUUGGUGGGGGGGUGAUGGCCGAGCAAGGCGGUGACGGGGAGCCGGACGGAGAGGGUGAACGGCCACAGUGGGGUGGAGAUACGGCCCAGACUCCGACGGGGGGCAGCAGUGGGGGAUAUUGCGCAAUGGGCGAAAGCCUGAUGCAGCGACGCCGCGUGGGGGAUGAAGGCUUUCGGGUUGUAAACCUCUUUCGCUAUCGACCGGGUAGGUGGAGAAGAAGCGCCGGCUAACUACGUGCCAGCGGCCGCGGUAAUU
rnacentral:rRNA from 1 species